ensembl:lncRNA
GCCAGUGGCUACAGCUCCGAUUUGACCCCUAGCCUGGGAACCUCCAUGUGCCGCGGGAGCAGCCCAAGGAAUGGCAGAAAGACAAAAUAAAAUAAAAUAAAAUAAAAUAAUAAAAAUUUAAAAAUUAAGACUUACAGCUGAUCUUUCAAAUGGAAACAGUGAAAACCAGAAGGGCUAAAGCCAAUCCACCAGCGACUACUCAGACAGGAAGACAGAAGUGUUUCCAGAAAAAACCGAGCAGAUUUACUGUCAGCAGCCCCCUGAUAAAAGAAAUCUUAAGGGAGUUCUUCAGACAGCAGAAAAAUGGUCCCACGUGGAAGCAUGAUAAUGCANNNNNNNNNNNNNNNGAAAGGUCCAAGACGGCAUACUAUACUGGUAAAUCUAAAUGAACAGUGACUGUUAAAAGAACAAUGUCUUGUGGGUUUUAUAUAGAUGAAAUUAAAAUACAUGAAUACAACAGCACAAAAAGGAUGAGGAAACAAAAUAAAUUAGCAUGUUAUAAGGUCCCUGUAUUGUCCAUAAAAAUAUAAAAGUACUCAUUUAAGGUCAAUACUAAUAAAUUAAGGAUACAUGUUAUAAUCUGUACUGCAAACACUAAAAGAACAAUAAAAGAAUGUAUAACUCACAAGCUAAUAGAGGCUUGUUAAUAAACACCUGAUUAAUCUAAAAGAAGAGGAAAAAAUGAAAAAAUAAAGAAGUACAAAGAACUAAAGUUAUGAAAGUAAGAUGAUAGACUUAAACCUACAUGUUUUUAAGCCGCAUGUGCACAGGAUAAGACUUCCAAAGCCGCGAAGAAUUCAACUUCUCAAACAACAAAACAAAACCUCUUAGAAAACUACAGUAGGCGUUCCCGUUGUGGCCCGGCAGGUUAAGAAGCUGACAUAGAACUAUUUUAAAAUAGAAAUGAAGAAGGAAGCUUUAAGAGGAACUCACAGCACCCCAUGAACACGUGACACACAGGAGGUAGUGAAUACAUCUUUGCUGAAUGCAGAAAUACAGAGACAUAGAUAAUCAUGGUCCCGUCCAGUACAUUCAUAAUAUCACCAUUCAAUGAAAACAUCAGCUUGAUAUAUUUAGUCCAUAUUUAUAGCCUUCAUAAUGAACUAGAGAAAAUACAAGCCCAUUGUGUAGCUAAAUAAAAAUGGAAGCCUGAAAACUUAUUAAUUCAGCACCCCCAAAAUAACGUAUAUCCUUCGUUUUCUAUAAUUUACGGUAGCUUUUCUUCUCUCCGCCUCACUCAUAUGAAAAACUAUUAUGCUCUCCGUAUUUCAGUUUAUGGCACAGAAGAAUCUUAUCAAAAACACUUGAGCAAUAAUUUUCCCCUGCUCAUAAAAAUAGGCUGAGUUUAUCUAACCUUAAAAAUAGCCUCCAUUUAUCCACAGCCCUGGCCCCUUCCUUGGAAAUCGCAGGGCUAAAUCAAGCAGAAUUCUUGACCCCUGAUGGUCUGAACAAGCAGAAAAGGGUGCAGUUAUUCACUUUCUCUCUGAUGCAAAGAUUUGCAAGUCUUUCUCCUUGAUUUAUUUGGCAGGCUCUUUUGGUCAGAUUUUAGUGUGCUCCAUUAUUAAUACUAGAGGGCAACAGCAUCAUCAUUGUUUUUUUACUUUUUUUUUUUUCUUGCCACCCCAAAGCAUAUGGAGUUCCUGGGCCAGAAAUCAGAUCUUAGCCACAUCUGCAACCUAAGCCACAGCUGCCACAAUGCUGGAGGCUUAACCUACUGUGCUAGGCCAGGGAUCAAACCUGCAUCCCAGUGCUCCCAAAACACAGCCAAUCCUGCUGCACCAGAGCAGGAACUCCUGUUUUAUUACUUUUUUAUUUUUUGGCCAUGCCUGUUGAAGUUCCCAGGCCAAGGACUGAACCCACGCCACAGCUGUUAACUAGAGCCACUGCAGUGACAACACCGGAUCUCCAACCCGCUGAACCACCAAGGAACUCCAGUGUCAUCACUGCAAACACUGAGAUCUUCAGGUUCAAGUCUGUGUCUUAUUCCAUUCUUAGUCCUCUGGGUUAUCCUCUUACAAAAUUCUGGGCUUCAGUCUGCCCACAUGUAGAGAGAAAUGGAGAAAUACCCUCUCUGCUCCAUCCCUACCUUGUGACCGCAUGAAACUAAUGGGAUCACUGGUACCAUUCUCUACUGACAUUGAGGUAUUGGCUUGGGGCCUUUCCAGGGCGAGAUUUUUGUUCGUUAGAACUUACAUCAUAUUUCUUGUUUGGCCAGCCAUGCUACAUUCUCAAAAUUUUGUUCUGUUGAAAAUGUCCUUGGCAGGACCAAAACUAAAAAUGGUCUACUAACAGUAAGUAGAUACGGCCUUUUCUUUUUCAUUCCAUGAUGAAAAUGUUGGGAAGCUACCUCCCCAUCUUCUAAUUUGUGCUUGCAUGUGACCAUCCUCAUCUCCCCUUCUCUGGACCAGUAGCCAAAAGCAUUCUAACUGGGCAGAAGGAUGGUAGAGCCCCAGAGGUACAGAGGAAGAAGCCUCUAGUUUAUACUGGAGGGAAACCAAUAGAUUCCCAAAGCCUCUCUUUUGCACAAGAGUGAUUUCAUUCUCUAAGAAAGGAGUGAGAGCUGGCUAUGUGUGAUUGGGUAAGUGUUAGUGAAGGCCCACUCUAAAAUUUAAUUCUGACACAUGGAGGAGUUCCCGUUGUGGCUCAGAGGGUUAAGAACCCAACUAUUAUCCAUGAGGAUGCAGGUUCAAUCUCUGGCCUAGCUCAGAGGGUUAAGGAUCCAGUGUCGCCACAAGCUGCAGUGUAGAUCACAGAUGUGGCUCGGAUCCAGUGUUCCCAGGGCUGUGGUGCAGGCCUGUAGCUACAGCUCCAAUUCAACCCCUGCCCCAGGAACUUCCAUAUGCUGCAGGUACAGCCAUAAAAAGAAAAAAAUAAAAAUUUUUUUAAAAAAUUCUGGCACGUGGAAAGGUAGAAUCCUUGAGCUUCAAACUGUGAGGACCUCUCACACCCAGCAAACGCUAGCAGCGCUGGACAAAGCUGGGCGAGUUCAAGAAGCAGGUAACAAGACUGAAUGCUUCAUCUAGUACAUUACAUGUUGAACAAAGUUCUUAAAAAGUUACAGAGCAUAUAAAUGUAACUGACAUUUGGCAUACACAUAUACAUGUAUAAGCACUACGUAUCUACAUUAGGUAAAAGGCACUGUAUCUAAUCUGCCAGUGCAAAGGUGACCUACUUUUACCUUUAUUCUGUAUUUGAUGCACAGCUGGCCUGUGGUUCAGCUGGUUGAGCAGAUACUAUGAGAAUCAUCUCAAAAGGAGUCUCCUUUUAAGAAAGCGUUGUGGGCAAGGAUUGAAGCCCUGAAGAGAUUAAGAUACACUCUUUGUUGUUAAUUGCAAGCCUCUGCUGAAAGCUUUUACGUUUCUAUCACUGGUGUUAAGUAUGAAACCAAUUGGGAUUGGCGUGCUUAUAUACUACAUACAUUUCCUGAUCAGAUUAAAAAUAAAGCUCUGCAAGCUAUAAACUAUAGACGCAAUACACUGCCAAUUACAUGUAAGUUUUAUGGGCAUUAAAGUAUCCCUGAAAAUGCAAAUUACAUAAUUUUCUGAAAAAUUACUGAAACUUAUUUAUCGAGCUAAACUAUUUUUCACAGUAGGAGAGGCAGUUGCUACCAGCAAAAUCAUUUUUUUCCUAAGAUAUUUUGACAAGUGCCCCUGAUCUGAGCUGUCAAAAAAACUGCUUGAAUCUAUCUACUAAAAAUUAUUUGUAAAUAUGUAUACAAACCCUGCCAUCUUUCUGAGUCCGUAGCUCUGGGAGAAACAAGGAAAUAAAGCCACUAGCAAUAUGAACUCCUGGUCAUCCUAAUAAGAUAUGCUUGCUUCAAGCCUCACUGGAUUAUUUAAUCACCAACACGUUGCAACGUCCACACAAAAUACGCCCAGCUCAGAACCCAUGAAACCCUAACUCUGGGAACGGAAAGAUCCUCCAGCAUAAAAUGAAAUUCUGCCAAGCUCACCUGAAACCAUGGGAAAACACUGUGCAUUCUUAAAUUAGGUAAAGCAAUGAGUAAUUAUCUGCUGAAAGAGAAGAUGCUAUUCAUUUUUCUGUUAUCCGUGUGCCCAAUUAUGGCAGCAGGUGGUGUCUGCUCUGGCCUUCCCUUGCUGCAUCGAUCAACCUUCCCCUCCCCCUCCUAGAUUAUGCUCGCUCCCAAGCAGAAAAAAAAGGGAAAAUAGUCACUUUCUAUCGACCUUAAGCCACCCCCCACUCAAGCUACCACCAACGCGGGGCAGGGAGGAAGAGGUCACCGGUGUCAGCUGCCUCCGCUUUCCACGUGCUCCUGGCCUGCGAUCCAAUCCACUUCUGUGGCUCUGCUAUUGCCCUGAUGGCAUCCAAAUCUUAGGUCUCUGGCCGCCCAUCCUCCCUCUGAAACUCACCAUCCACAUCUUCAGCUUUGUCCCUUGUCAGGAGGGGCAUCCUAAGACGGCCAGAACCAAGCAUCGCAACUGGACGGCUUAAGCAACUGACUUGGACCAGCUCCCAGCUUUGGAGGCUGCAAGUCAGAGAUCAGGGUGUCGGGAGGGUGGGUUCCCCCCAGACUGAGAGGGGGAUCCCUUCCAGGCCUCUCUAUGGGCUUCUGGUGGCCUCAGGCCUCCCCUGGCUCCAGGGCUAUCCUCACGUGGCCUGCUCCCUGUACCUUUGCACCGUCUUCCCUCUGUCCGUGUCUGAGUCCAAACCUCCUCUUUUUCUUUUUUUUCUUUGUAGGGCCUCACCCAGGGCACAUGGAAGUUUCCAGGCAAGGGGUCGAAUCAUACAUGCAGCUGGCCUAUGCCACAGCCACAGGAACACUAAACCUGAACCACAUCUGUGACCUAUACCACAGCCUGUGGCAACAUCAGAUCUUUAACCCACUGAUCGA